rnacentral:lncRNA from 1 species
CCUGCACAGCCCUUCUCGGUGGGCGGAGUCUGUGGUAAGAUGGCUUGAAGGACUUCCUUGGUUGAGCUCCAGGGGUGAGUGGGCUUCUGGUGUCCUACGCCAGGCCCCCAGGCCUCCUGUGGCUCACCCCACGCCGAUUCCACCCGCCAGGGCCAGGGACACAUUCGCUGAGGCGCCUGCCCCGACCGCCACCAGGAGAGUGGAAGGCUGGGCCUGGUUUGACGCUUUCGCGCCCGACCUUGACCUAAGCCGAGCCUGGCGUGGCGCCCUCUUGCCCAGUGUGGGCAGAAAGGAGCGCUGGAAGUGCCUUCCUUGAGGGUCAGGUCGCGCUCUGAAGAGGUCGGCAGUGACCCAGCUGAUGCUAUGGAGAGCGAGCACCGAGGAGUGAGAGGACGUAAUUGGCUGAGAGGAGCAGAGAACCUGUGGGGAAGGACUGUAGGAGUCUGAGGUGAGAGGAAGGUUUGCCCUCCAAUCAGUGGUCUGCCUUCAUUUUCCAGAUUGAUGAAGUCUGCCUCAGAGAAGGGAGCAGUUUAUUUAAUUUCAGGAGGACCUGGGGACCUCCUGUUCUGCCAUCUUGCUUCAUCACCAACACCCUUUUUCGAUCAACAUUUUGAGUAUGCUUUCCAGCUAUGUUUGGCCUCCAUGGUUUACGGUAAGAAAUCAGCCAUUAAUUUUACUGAGGAUUCCUUGUACAUGAUAUGUUGCUUUUUCGAGAUCAAUGGCGUUUUUAUGUAGGUGAGUAG